rnacentral:rRNA from 1 species
UAUAUGGGCAGAAGGUGUGUUGGAAAGCAUGCUGGACUGUAUAGGAGAGAGAAUGUUGGCAUGAGUAGCGUAAGCAGGGUGAGAAUCCCUGCCACCGAAAAUCUAAGGUUUCCUGAGGAAGGUUCGUCCGCUCAGGGUUAGUCGGGUCCUAAGCUCAGGGCGAAAGCCGUAGGCGAUGGAUAACUGGUUGAGAUUCCAGUACCACCGAAAGUCGUUUGAUCGAUGUGGGGACACAGGAGGAUAGGCUGAGCGCACCGUUGGUUGAGUGCGUCCAAAAGCUAAGGGAGUUACGAUAGGCAAAUCCGUUGUAACAAUCCUGAGGCUUGAUGGGGAGGGAAAUUAAAGUACCGAAGCAGCUGAUUUCACACUGUCAAGAAAAGCCGCUAGAGAGACUGUAGGUGCCCGUACCGCAAACCGACACAGGUAGAUGAGGAGAGAAUCCUAAGGUGAGCGAGAGAACUAUUGUUAAGGAACUCGGCAAAAUGACCCCGUAACUUCGGGAGAAGGGGUACCUGCGAAAGCAGGGCGCAGCGAAAUGGCCCAGGCGACUGUUUACCAAAAACACAGGUCUCUGCUAAAGCGAAAGCUGAUGUAUAGGGGCUGACGCCUGCCCGGUGCUGGAAGGUUAAGGGGACGUGUUAGAGCAAUCGAAGCACUGAACUUAAGCCCCAGUAAACGGCGGCCGUAACUAUAACGGUCCUAAGGUAGCGAAAUUCCUUGUCAGGUAAGUUCUGACCCGCACGAAAGGCGUAACGAUCUGGGCGCUGUCUCGACAAUAGACUCGGUGAAAUUGAAGUACCGGUAAAGAUGCCGGUUACCCGCAGCAGGACGGAAAGACCCCGUGGAGCUUUACUGCAGCUUGAUAUUGGAUUUCGGCGUUGCAUGUACAGGAUAGGUGGGAGACUAAGAAGCAGGAACGCUAGUUUCUGUGGAGUCACCGUUGGGAUACCACCCUUGUAACGUUGAAAUUCUAACUUUGUGCCGUUACCCGGUACAAGGACAGUGUCUGGUGGGCAGUUUGACUGGGGCGGUCGCCUCCUAAAGAGUAACGGAGGCGCCCAAAGGUUCCCUCAGCGCGGUCGGAAAUCGCGCGAAGAGUGUAAAGGCAGAAGGGAGCUUGACUGCGAGACCAACAAGUCGAGCAGGGACGAAAGUCGGGCUUAGUGAUCCGGUGGUUCCGAGUGGAAGGGCCAUCGCUCAACGGAUAAAAGCUACCCCGGGGAUAACAGGCUGAUACCGCCCAAGAGUCCACAUCGACGGCGGUGUUUGGCACCUCGAUGUCGGCUCGUCUCAUCCUGGGGCUGUAGUAGGUCCCAAGG